GUGUCGAGCCGGUCAUCCAGAGCCUCGGCUCUGUCCAGCGUUUCCGAUUUGGAAUCCGAGUCUGAGGACGAGUCGGUUUCAGCGGUGGACCAAAUCUCUACCAUUGCAAUGUCCGAUUUGAAAUCCAUCGCUGAUUGUAUGAUAUCGUCUGGCUAUGGAAAAGAGUGCGUGAGAAUUUACAAAAUCAUAAGAAAAUCGAUCGUUGACGAAGGCCUGUACCUUCUUGGAGUGGAGAAGCUGAGCCUCUCUCAGGUUCAGAAAAUGGACUGGCAGGUUUU
rnacentral:lncRNA from 1 species